ensembl:lncRNA
UAUUUACUGUACUCUACUGUGUUUCUUUACUGUACUCUACUGUAUUUCUUUACUAUACUCUACUGUGUUUCUUUACUGUCCUCUACUGUAUUUCUUUACUGUCCUCUACUGUGUUUAUUUACUGUACUCUACUGUGUUUCUUUACUGUCCUCUACUGUAUUUCUUUACUGUCCUCUACUGUGUUUAUUUACUGUCCUCUACUGUGUUUCUUUACUGUCCUCUACUGUAUUUCUUUACUGUCCUCUACUGUGUUUAUUUACUGUACUCUACUGUGUUUAUUUAUUUACUGUACUCUACUAUGUUUCUUUACUGUCCUCUACUGUGUUUAUUUAUUUACUGUACUCUACUAUGUUUCUUUACUGUACUCUACUGUGUUUAUUUAUUUACUGUACUCUACUAUGUUUCUUUACUGUACUCUACUGUGUUUCUUUACUGUACUCUACUGUGUUUCUUUAAUGUACUCUACUGUGUUUCUUUACUGUCCUCUACUGUGUUUCUUUACUGUACUCUACUGUGUUUCUUUACUAUACUCUACUGUGUUUCUUUACUAUCCUCUACUUUGUUUCUUUACUGUCCUCUACUUUGUUUCUUUACUGUACUCUACUGUGUUUCUUUACUGUCCUCUACUGUGUUUCUUUACUGUCCUCUACUGUGUUUCUUUACUGUGUUUCUUUACUGUGUUUCUUUACUGUCCUCUACUUUGUUUCUUUACUGUCCUCUACUUUGUUUCUUUACUGUACUCUUCUGUGUUUCUUUACUGUCCUCUACUGUGUUUCUUUACUGUCCUCUACUGUGUUUCUUUACUAUACUCUACUGUGUUUCUUUACUGUCCUCUUCUGUGUUUCUUUACUGUCCUCUUCUGUGUUUCUUUACUGUCCUCUACUGUGUUUCUUUACUGUCCUCUACUGUGUUUCUUUACUGUCCUCUUCUGUGUUUCUUUACUGUCCUCUUCUGUGUUUCUUUACUGUCCUCUACUGUGUUUCUUUACUGUCCUCUUCUGUGUUUCUUUACUGUCCUCUUCUGUGUUUCUUUACUGUCCUCUUCUGUGUUUCUUUACUGUCCUCUUCUGUGUUUCUUUACUGUCCUCUACUGUGUUUCUUUACUGUCCUCUUCUGUGUUUCUUUACUGUCCUCUACUGUGUUUCUUUACUGUCCUCUACUGUGUUUCUUUACUGUCCUCUUCUGUGUUUCUUUACUGUCCUCUACUGUGUUUCUUUACUGUCCUCUACUGUGUUUCUUUACUGUCCUCUACUGUGUUUCUUUACUGUCCUCUACUCUUUACUGUCCUCUUCUGUGUUUCUUUACUGUCCUCUACUGUGUUUCUUUACUGUCCUCUACUGUGUUUCUUUACUGUCCUCUUCUGUGUUUAUUUACUGUCCUCUUCUGUGUUUCUUUACUGUCCUCUUCUGUGUUUCUUUACUGUCCUCUACUGUGUUUCUUUACUGUCCUCUACUGUGUUUCUUUACUGUCCUCUACUGUGUUUCUUUACUGUCCUCUUCUGUGUUUCUUUACUGUCCUCUACUGCGUUACUUUACUGUCCUCUACUGUGUUUCUUUACUGUCCUCUUCUGUGUUUAUUUACUGUCCUCUUCUGUGUUUCUUUACUGUCAUCUACUGUGUUUCUUUACUGUCCUCUACUGUGUUUCUUUACUGUCCUCUACUGUGUUUCUUUACUGUCCUCUUCUGUGUUUCUUUACUGUCCUCUACUGCGUUACUUUACUGUCCUCUACUGUGUUUCUUUACUGUCCUCUUCUGUGUUUAUUUACUGUCCUCUUCUGUGUUUCUUUACUGUCAUCUACUGUGUUUCUUUACUGUCCUCUUCUGUGUUUCUUUAUUGUACUCUACUGUGUUUCUUUACUGUCCUCUACUGUGUUUCUUUACUGUCCUCUACUGUGUUUCUUUAUUGUACUCUACUGUGUUUCUUUACUGUCCUCUACUGUGUUUCUUUACUGUCCUCUUCUGUGUUUCUUUACUGUACUCUACUGUGUUUCUUUACUGUGUUUCUUUACUGUGUUUCUUUACUGUGUUUCUUUACUGUGUUUCUUUACUGUGUUUCUUUACUAUCCUCUACUGUGUUUCUUUACUGUACUCUACUGUGUUUCUUUACUGUACUCUACUGUGUUUCUUUACUGUACUCUACUGUGUUUCUUUACUAUACUCUACUGUGUUUCUUUACUGUGUUUCUUUACUGUGUUUCUUUACUUUGUUUCUUUACUAUACUCUACUGUGUUUCUUUACUGUACUCUUCUGUGUUUCUUUACUAUACUCUACUGUGUUUCUUUACUGUGUUUCUUUACUGUGUUUCUUUACUGUGUUUCUUUACUGUCCUCUACUGUGUUUCUUUACUGUGUUUCUUUACUAUCCUCUACUGUGUUUCUUUACUGUACUCUACUGUGUUUCUUUACUGUACUCUACUGUGUUUCUUUACUGUCCUCUACUGUGUUUCUUUACUAUACUCUACUGUGUUUCUUUACUGUGUUUCUUUACUGUGUUUCUUUACUUUGUUUCUUUACUAUACUCUACUGUGUUUCUUUACUGUCCUCUUCUGUGUUUCUUUACUGUCCUCUUCUGUGUUUCUUUACUGUCCUCUACUGUGUUUCUUUACUGUACUCUUCUGUGUUUCUUUACUGUACUCUACUGUGUUUCUUUACUGUACUCUACUGUGUUUCUUUACUGUACUCUUCUGUGUUUCUUUACUGUCCUCUUCUGUGUUUCUUUACUGUCCUCUACUGUGUUUCUUUACUGUCUCCUCUUCCUUUUUUCUUUACUGUCCUCUACUGUGUUUCUUUACUGUACUCUACUGUGUUUCUUUACUGUACUCUUCUGUGUUUCUUUACUGUCCUCUUCUGUGUUUCUUUACUGUCCUCUACUGUGUUUCUUUACUGUACUCUUCUGUGUUUCUUUACUAUACUCUACUGUGUUUCUUUACUGUACUCUACUGUGUUUCUUUACUGUACUCUACUGUGUUUCUUUACUGUACUCUUCUGUGUUUCUUUACUGUCCUCUUCUGUGUUUCUUUACUGUCCUCUUCUGUGUUUCUUUACUGUCCUCUACUGUGUUUCUUUACUGUACUCUUCUGUGUUUUUUUACUGUCCUCUUCUGUGUUUCUUUACUGUCCUCUUCCUUUUUUUUCUUUACUGUCCUCUUCUGUGUUUCUUUACUGUCCUCUACUGUGUUUCUUUACUGUACUCUACUGUGUUUCUUUACUUUGUUUCUUUACUGUCCUCUACUGUGUUUCUUUACUGUCCUCUACUGUGUUUCUUUACUGUCCUCUACUGUGUUUCUUUACUAUACUCUACUGUGUUUCUUUACUAUACUCUACUGUGUUUCUUUACUAUACUCUACUGUGUUUCUUUAUUGUACUCUACUGUGUUUCUUUACUGUGUUUCUUUACUGUACUCUACUGUGUUUCUUUACUGUACUCUACUGUGUUUCUUUACUGUACUCUACUGUGUUUCUUUACUGUCCUCUACUGUGUUUCUUUACUAUACUCUACUGUGUUUCUUUACUGUCCUCUACUGUGUUUCUUUACUGUACUCUACUGUGUUUCUUUACUAUACUCUACUGUGUUUCUUUACUAUCCUCUACUUUGUUUCUUUACUGUCCUCUACUUUGUUUCUUUACUGUACUCUACUGUGUUUCUUUACUGUCCUCUACUGUGUUUCUUUAUUGUACUCUACUGUGUUUCUUUACUGUGUUUCUUUCCUAUGUUUCUUUACUGUGUUUUGCAUGUAAAAAUGUGCAACAUUUUGUCUGAUAUUUUAUUAAUAUUUUGAAUAUUUUUGUCUGCAAUUAUACUCAUAAUGUUUUGGGAACUUUGACUAAUUUCACUAUCAUUAAUUUUGUGUUGCAGCCUUUAAAGCUGGAGCUAAUUGUAAUUGCUUUCUCUUCGUUCUAUAGUAUUAUAUUAUUAUUAUUUAUUCAUCUAUCCAAUUAUUUUAUUAUUUUAUUUGUAAUAUUAUUUUAGUAUCUAUAUUGUUGAUGCAUUCAUGUGUUCAUCUCCUUAAUGUUGCAGCUGGUGAAGCUGGAGCUCAUUUUAAUGACUUUAUAUACUGCAGGGUAGUUUAAUCUAUAACAAUACAUCAUCUUUUAUAAGUUUAUUAUAUUUUGUACUUAAUAAUAUGAAUUUGCAAAGUAACUAAA